UACGUAGGGUGCGAGCGUUAAUCGGAAUUACUGGGCGUAAAGCGCACGUAGGCGGACAUUUAAGUCAGGGGUGAAAUCCCAGAGCUCAACUCUGGAACUGCCUUUGAUACUGGGUGUCUUGAGUAUGGAAGAGGUGAGUGGAAUUCCGAGUGUAGAGGUGAGAUUCGUAGAUAUUCGGAGGAACACCAGUGGCGAAGGCGGCUCACUGGUCCAUUACUGACGCUGAGGUGCGAAAGCGUGGGGAGCAAACAGG
rnacentral:rRNA from 1 species